rnacentral:lncRNA from 1 species
GAAGCGAAUUAACACUAGCAACUCUAACCAAGGAAUAGAAAAAUAAAGUAAAAAUAGCAUGUUUGUUCUAAGUGUGAAAAUCGUAGCAACUCAUAUAUAAGAGACAUAUGGAACAAAGCAUUAACAAUCAUUGCUUGGCACAUUCGAACGAGCCCGACGAGCGUCAUAUGAACACCAGCACUUCGAAAAUAAAAUAAAACAAUGUGCUACAAAUAGGUAUGAACUAGAGAUGGCCAUGGGCUAAUUUUAUUCCAAAUUAUCCUUUAGGAAUCUGCCAAAUGCAAGAUAUAUAUAUGAUCAAUACAUGAUGUGAAAUACGUGAGUGGAAAUCUUUUAAACUGGAUAUGGACAGAUUUUGAACAUGCUUCAAAGAAUGGAAACCAUGUAUCCGCAAGAAGUUAAAGAUGCAACAACAUAAUUCGUUUGGCGCCCUCCAAACAUAUAACAGGACAACAAACAUUAUUUCAACAAUGAGAAUAAGACAGUAACA